CAAAAAGAGUGUGUGUAUAGAUAAUUUUGAACUUGCUACUUUCAAACUGUAUAAAAAGCUAUGUUAUUCCUUUGCUCAGUGGAGUGCACUGGGGAGUACAUCUGCCCCUUUCGCAUUCCCUGGUCGUAAUAAAAGUGCUUUUCAGAUUGUUCAAAGGUUUCUUUGAAUCACUUACAGCAUGGCCAAGUGAUACCUAAGGUGGUUGGGCCGAGACCUGCUGGUGAAGCUGAAUGCUGGGAUGGAAGGGAAAAAAGUGGAGAAAGUAAGGAGAAGGGGGAACAAAACAAGGGGAGAAAAGUUUGUGUGCCUGGUGGGGAUGAGACCCUCCCCUGGUUGUUACAUUUUGUUCCAUGUGAGAGCUGGUGUUCCAGAAAGGCUCUGGCCCCUUCUGCUGCCUUGGGAUGCAAGUGUACAGAGUUGGUAUGGAAGAAGGAAGAUGUAGGGAUGUCUGUGAGCUGAACACCCAUCUUUCUCACUGUGUAUAAUUUAUGCUGGGAUGGUGAGGCCGAUGGCAGAGGAAGAAGGAAGCAGCAUUUUCCCAGAGAGCAGCCAGAACAGCAUUAGGGGAUAGAGGACUUUCCCCUUCCCUACACAGGGAGAGGGGAAGGCACACGCACACACAAAGGCGAAUCUAAUAUAUGAACAGGCACCCACGGGGAAUCACCUCCCUCUUCCGGUCAGGCCCAGGAUGGAGAAGUGGACCUUGCCGUCUUCUAGGCGGGAGACCAAGACGGCAGAGGAAGUCCCUGAGACGGAAUGGCAGAAGGCUACGGACUUCACCGAUUCCGAUAUCCUUUUCUUUCGCUCCCCUGGCGUAGCGCUGUUAUUGUUUCCAGGGUGGAGGCGAGGGAGGUAUAAUAGCCUUUGUUUUCCCUCUUGCACUGAGUUCUAGCCCUUUGAGUCGUGAGGCAUAGCUAAUCGCCUCCCCUGCCUAACUAGCAGGCUCAGCCCCUGCCUAGUGCCCCUGAGCCCGUACCGGGGGACAACGAGUGGUGGUAGCCUCCUUGCCCCACCGCUGCUACUUCGCAAGGGAGAGACCGAAAGGAAGUUUGUUGCCGUGCCCACCACCCCUCGUGCGCUGUCUGGGCAGUUGGGACCCCGUCUGCUGCCAGCUGCUGGGGGCGGGCGUGGGGAAGUGAUGCCGAUCGCCGCCAACUCGCAACCUUGCGCUGUGCAGCCCGACUCCCGCCUCUUUCCUUCCGCCUACCUGCGGAACCACGACCGGGAAUCCGCAAAGUCUGGGGAGGACGGCGUUGAAGAUCGAUAGGAUCCCCUUCUCCAGGUGGCAGAGGCGGGUAGGGGAAUUGGGCUCGCCAGCACAUUUGUGGUUCUUUCCGCCGUCUCCCUCUCUCCUCCUCCUGCGCUGUCAGCCCCCCCGCCUUCUCCUCCUCCCCCUCCCCCACCGCUGCCGCAGCUCUCGCUUUUCCCCCCAGCUCCCUUCCUCCUCCUGGAGCUCCCCCCCCCAGAAUCCACUCCAGCUUCCUCAGUCUCACCAUGAACGGGGGCGCCGCUCAUAUCCAGCAGCCGCCUCCUCCCACCCUCUGCCAGCAGCCGCCGCCAACCCUACACAGGCCGAGCCUCCUGGAGCAAGGAACUCAGAGCCAGGGCAGAGGCAGACACAUCGCCGCCCCGGGCACCAGACGUCCUGUGUCAGGUACUUCGUUUCAAUGUCAGUCAAUCCAUCAAGAUCACAUUUUCAGCAAUGACAGUGACAAGGGCAGAAGAUGACACCCUGGAAGUGACUUCCUGGUUUCCACAGCUCCCUGCAAAUCAAGAGGCUACGCUCCCAAAAGUUCACAAUGAGGAUGACUCCCUGGUGAGACCAUCAGCAACACUCCCAAGCCCCUUAGGGGCAUUUGUAAACCCAGCUUUACCC